rnacentral:rRNA from 1 species
GACGAACGCUGGCGGCGUGCCUAAUACAUGCAAGUCGAACGCAGUGGGGACGGGUGAGUAACACGUGGGUAACCUCCCAUCAGAGGGGAUAACACUUGGAAACAGGUGCUAAACCGAUACUGAUGGAUGGACCCGCGGUGCAUUAGCUAGUGGGUGAGGUAACGGCUCACCAAGGCCACGAUGCAUAGCCGACCUGAGAGGGUGAGCAGCCACACUGGAACUGAGACACGGCCCAGACUCCUACGGGAGGCAGCAGUAGGGAAUAUUCGGCAAUGGGCGAAAGGCUGACCGAGCAACGCCGCGUGUGUGAAGAAGGUUUUCGGAUCGUAAAACUCUGUUGGUGGGGAAGCGGUACCGGAAGAGAAAGCCACGGCUAACUACGUGCCAGCAGCCGCGGUAAUAC